rnacentral:tRNA from 1 species
GCCUUCGUUGUGUAGUGACAGCACGCUCGACGCGUAACCGAGAGGUCCGUGGUUCGAUUCCCGGCGAAGGCG